GCAAGUCGAGCGGAAACGAAAGUAGCUUGCUACUAGGCGUCGAGCGGCGGACGGGUGAGUAAUGCCUAGGGAACUGCCCAGUCGAGGGGGAUAACAGUUGGAAACGACUGCUAAUACCGCAUACGCCCUACGGGGGAAAGGAGGGGACCUUCGGGCCUCUCGCGUCAGGAUAUGCCUAGGCGGGAUUAGCUAGUUGGUGAGGUAAUGGCUCACCAAGGCGACGAUCUCUAGCUGGUCUGAGAGGAUGAUC
rnacentral:rRNA from 1 species